rnacentral:rRNA from 1 species
UAGGGAAUUUUGCGCAAUGGGGGAAACCCUGACGCAGCAAUACCGUGUGAGGGAUGAAGCAUUUCGGUGUGUAAACCUCUGUCGAUGGUGAAUAAAGGUUUUGGGAGUGGAAAGCCCAGAAUUUGAAGGUAGCCAAGAAGGAAGCACCGGCUAACUCUGUGCCAGCAGCCGCGGUAAUACAGGGGGUGCAAGCGUUGUUCGGAAUUACUGGGCGUAAAGGGAGCGUAGGCGGAAGUGCAAGACAGAGGUUAAAGAUCCGGGCUCAACCUGGGGCAUGCCUUUGUGACUGCAUUUCUUGAGUAUGGUAGAGGUCAGUGGAAUUUCCGGUGUAGCGGUGGAAUGCGUAGAGAUCGGAAAGAACACCAGAGGCGAAGGCGACUGACUGGACCAAUACUGACGCUGAGGCUCGAAAGCGUGGGGAGCAAACAGG